CCCAGGCUGGAAUGCAGUGGCACAAUCUCGGCUCACUGCAACCUCUGCCUCCCGGGUUCACGCCAUUCUCCUGCCUCAGCCUCCUGAGUAACUGGGACUACAGGUGCCUGCCACCACACCCAGCUAAUUUUUUGUAUUUUUAGUAGAGACGGGGUUUCACCAUGUUAGCCAGGAUGGUCUCGAUCUCCUGACCUCGUGAUCCGCCUGCCUCGGCCUCCCAAAGUGCUGGGAUUACAGGCCUGGGCCACCGCGCCCGGCCAGCUCUUUCAUUUUCAAUAAAACACAAGAAAACCAUUGGUCCAGGCUGUGAAGACGACAUUUCAAAUCCUAAGUUUUGGCUUUCUGUACUUCACUGAGAGAAAAACAAGCGCGGGAGGUGAAGAUUACAGAGAAAGACAUGAAUGUGCCAAUAGUAUAAUGAGCCAAAUGUUAGGACAAGGCUGGUUGAAAUAACCUGUCGGCAUACCGAAAAGAAUCGAGUUAGGAAAUUGACACAGUUAAAAAAAAAAAUUUAAAGACCAACUUGAUAUUAGAAAGGAUAGAAUAGAACAUUAUUCUCUUGUUCUCAAAUAAAUUUAUACCUGAAAAGAAAAGAGAUUGAAGUUAGCUUAAUAGAAAAACACGUACAGCAUGUAUUUUUAAGGCAUUGCAUGUUGGCUGAUCUUGACAUGCCCUCAACUCAGGGGUACUUCUUUAGUUCAAU
rnacentral:lncRNA from 1 species